UGCGUAGGUGGCGCCGUAAGUCGGGUGUGAAAUCUCGGAGCUUAACUCCGAAACUGCAUUCGAUACUGCCGUGCUUGAGGACUGGAGAGGAGACUGGAAUUUACGGUGUAGCGGUGAAAUGCGUAGAUAUCGUAAGGAAGACCAGUGGCGAAGGCGGGUCUCUGGACAGUUCCUGACGCUGAGGCACGAAGGCCAGGGAGGCAAACG
rnacentral:rRNA from 1 species